GGGACAGCUCGAAAAUCGGGGAGUAGGCUGAAUGGCUGGGGCUCCAGACUCCAGCCUGGGAUGCGGGAGCGUCUGCGGUGCUGUGAGCCGGGACCGCGCCUCCCUCCCUGCCUUCCGGUCUUUCUUCCCCGCGGGGCGGAAAGGAGAGAAAAUGAUCCACAGUCUGUUUCUCAUAAACUGUUCCGGUGACAUAUUUCUAGAGAAGCACUGGAAGAGCGUUGUGAGCCAGUCUGUCUGUGAUUAUUUCUUUGAGGCUCAAGAGAAAGCUGUUGAUGUUGAAAAUGUACCACCUGUUAUUUCAACACCUCAUCACUACCUCAUCAGUAUCUACCGGGAUAAGCUCUUCUUUGUGUCUGUCAUACAGACUGAAGUGCCACCUCUCUUUGUAAUUGAGUUUCUACAUAGAGUUGCUGACACUUUUCAGGACUACUUUGGUGAGUGUUCGGAGGCUGCAAUUAAGGAUAAUGUGGUCAUCGUAUAUGAACUCUUGGAAGAAAUGUUAGACAAUGGAUUUCCACUGGCUACUGAAUCUAACAUUUUGAAAGAAUUGAUUAAACCACCAACAAUUCUACGUUCUGUUGUCAACUCUAUUACAGGCAGUAGUAAUGUUGGGGACACACUCCCCACUGGGCAGCUGUCCAACAUCCCAUGGCGCCGGGCUGGGGUAAAAUACACAAACAAUGAAGCCUAUUUUGAUGUCGUUGAAGAAAUAGAUGCAAUUAUAGAUAAAUCAGGAUCUACAGUCUUUGCAGAAAUUCAAGGGGUCAUAGAUGCUUGCAUUAAGCUAUCUGGAAUGCCUGACCUUUCCCUUUCUUUCAUGAACCCAAGGCUUCUAGAUGAUGUCAGCUUCCACCCCUGCAUCCGGUUCAAGCGUUGGGAAUCUGAAAGGGUUUUGUCAUUUAUUCCUCCAGAUGGAAAUUUCCGACUCAUAUCAUACCGUGUCAGCUCGCAAAAUCUAGUGGCAAUACCAGUGUAUGUGAAACAUAGCAUCAGCUUCAAGGAGAACAGUUCUUGUGGCAGAUUUGAUAUUACAAUUGGACCAAAGCAGAACAUGGGGAAAACCAUUGAAGGAAUCACAGUGACAGUUCACAUGCCAAAGGUUGUGUUGAAUAUGAACCUGACACCAACACAAGGCAGCUAUACAUUUGAUCCAGUUACCAAGGUACAGCUACCUCAGAUCAAGAGUACUAACAUGGGAUGUGGGAAAAAUUACUCCACAAAAGCUCCCAAGUCUUAAAGGACUGGUAAACUUACAGUCUGGAGCACCCAAGCCAGAAGAGAAUCCAAGCCUCAACAUACAGUUCAAAAUCCAGCAGCUUGCUAUUUCAGGCUUAAAAGUAAACCGCUUGGACAUGUAUGGAGAGAAAUACAAGCCAUUUAAAGGAGUCAAAUAUGUCACAAAAGCUGGAAAGUUCCAAGUGAGGACAUGAGAAGAGGCCAGAAUUCCUCAAGAUCUGUUUGUUUUCCAAGUGUCAUUACAGUUUAUUACUAUUAGGUACCAGUUGGGUGGGAAUACAUAAUCUAGUUAAAGCAUUUGUGUCGAGCCACACACUGCUAACAGAGUUGCUUAGAAUCAAUGUAGAGUUCAAGGAGCUUUAAGCUAAGGAAACUUUUGAAUGACUUAGCGUAUUUGUCUUAGCUUAUUAAGAAAGAUUUGGAGGUGACUUCCUCCAUAGGGAAGGCACCAGCUCGAGGCUGCAUAUUUUAAUAGUAAAGGCAAAAGUCUACAGUGAUAACCUCUUUCCUAAAACAGGAACUGGUCUCAAUCAGCAGGAGCUGUCUUAUUAUGUAAUGUGAUGUAUCAAGUGCAGCCAAAUGUCAUACCUGAUUUUAGCCACCCCAAAUCAGUAUCUGUCCCAACAGAGGAAGAGUUCCCCCCACCCCAAGAAGUUUACAAAAAACUGCCUCUUCAAGUGUUUGCCUUAUUCAGCUUUUCACGUGUGCCAUUAAGCAAGCACUGUAGCAGAAGCCACUCCACAUGGCCCAGGCAGGGACAGCACUGCUGCUCCCUGCUCCAUUCUCACUGUACUUGGUAUUGUAUUUUUUAUAAAUAAGAUUUUUAUGUAAAGCUCAGAUUUUGAUUUACAGGGACCUUGCUGCAGUAAGUACCAUCUCAGUUUUGUGCCAUUUUGUUCAGCUUCUAGCACAGUAAAAAUCAAUGUAUCAGAGGGGCGAAUACUUUAAGGUAAUAAAAGGGAACACUACUUCUGCUCUUAGGAAGUUAUUGUAAGCACAAGCAUUUGAGAUUUUAAGCAAAUUAACAUAGUAAAAAAACUUCAGUGAACCUUUGCCAUCUUCAUAUUUUAUAAAGCUUACUCAGCAUCACCUAAACCAUAGUUCGCCUAAAGGCCUCAUGCCCUAGUUCAGCUAAAGGAGGAAAAUGUGCCUGCCUCACUAUCAUCAACUUUUUUUUUAAUCCUUUAUCCUUUUUUGUUGUUCUUAAGGGUCUGAAUCUGCCUACAUUGCUUGUCUUCAGGGGAACUCCCUUUUCAUUUUGCGUGCUUCUUAAGGCUAUAGUCAGUAGAUUCCUUCCUGAACCUGUUGUUGUAAUUGUCACUGCAGUGCCUGCACAGGUCUGCUGUACUGACACAGUAGAAGGCAGUACGUCAUAAUGAGGCAGAAACAAAAUCCUCAGUAACACUGAUAAACCUGUAUUGAUCUUCCUGGUUGGCAAGUCCAUCUGCAGCCACACCAUUUCAUUUAAUUUUACUGGCUUAGAAGUCCUUGCGGAGUUAUUUUGUCCCAUUAGACGUGAAGAAUGGAGAAAAGUUAAAUGUAAGUGCUUAUUCUUCAUGUUUCCUUCUUAUUCUUACUCAUGCUAUUAGUUUUCUUUUAUGUGUGACUCCAUUCUUUUAAUUCUUCUCAGCUUAUAACUCCCUUUCCCUUACCAUGCUAAGGAUAGCCCUUACACUCACCCCAUUCUGCUGCCAAGGGCUGCAGUUGGUGCUGGUACAGGGAGUCCACUCUACAGCAGCAUUCUUACCUUUGCCUGCUUAGGGCGCCCAGCCUGCCUUUCAUCUAACAGGAGAGUUCACUUGAAACCUUGCAGUUUCUAGGGUAACCAAGAUCAGCUUGGCAGCUAAAAAUCACGAUGUUGCCAAAUACUUACUCUCUUUGCCUGAGGUUGGUUACCCAGUUCAGUUGCUUUUCAUUUUUAAUGUCUUCCUCCUCAGAGUUCGUACCUCAGAAGAGCAGUCAGUACAUUUGCUUUCCUUUCUGUAGAAUCCCUAAUCUCAACCAUCGUAUCUGGACUAAUUUCCUUUCUGUGCUGUCUUCUCAUAUGCAAGCGGAUGCCAAGAGUCCCUUGCCGCUAGUAGUUUUCUGCUAAAACUUGCAAGUAGAUUAUUCCCUUUUACAAUUAAAUUAUUGUAUUUAUUAAUUUAAUUGAAUCCAAUAAGCCCUUUUCUCUUUCUGGCUAUACUGUCAAUAAAAAGAUGAAAGUAACAAGCUGAUUUUUUAGCUUGACUGUUGAUUGAGCAUUCUCAGAUGGGCAUGCUUCAGUGUUAGAGCAGGCUGAACAUGAUCACAUUUUAUUCUGCAUCAUCACACAAGGUGUGUGAGUUGCUGCAAAGCACUCCAAAGUGCUCUUCUCUUAGCCUCAUUAUGUUAACAGCCCUGUAUACUUUCUCUAAGCAUCUGCCUUCUAGCCACAGAACAGUAAGUGAUCAAAGCUACUUUCCCUACCACCACCUACGAAUAACAAAGAUCCAUGAAUACUUAGUAGUAGUGAAAUAUUUUUCAAGCAAAGAAUUCCAUAUAAUCCAAGAAUAACUCUGUUUUCUAAAUUCUUAAAGGAGUACAUUCCAAGAGCUCAUUUUCUGCAUAAAAUGAGUCAGCAUAAUUUUAUUCAAAGGGAAGUCAUGUGAUGGGUUCAUGCCGUAAGUGGUACUACAGAAGAACCCGUGGAAGAUACUGGUCCUGUGGUCUCUCUUAGAGCCAUCUGAUUUGAGAAAACAAACUAUAAUACAGCAGGAAGGCAGCACCAGUGAACAUAUGGUAAGUAGCAAAAACGAGACCAUGAGUACUGUUUUCAGAUAUUGCUGAGCCAACUCAGUAGCCUUGGACUUUUCUCUUUAAUUCAAACAGCUGGGAUCUGCAUCCCUAGUCAGCAACUUUUCUGAGUUAAAGCAGUGACAAAUGUAGUAGGCAGCACUGUCAUCCUUUAAAGUAAUUUACCCCUUUUAGAUCUAGAAAAUCAGGCAAAAACAGUGAUGUCCCAGCUUUACUCCAAGAACCUGCUCCUACUCUUAGAGCUUCCUCAACCACAAAGAGGAAAAUGUCCCCCAAAGGUAGCUCUGCCUCAUGGCUCUGGUAGGUCCCUGACACCCUAUUGUUCUGUACUGGGUUUGGGAAUAUGAAAGAUAGACCUGCGAUACUGCUGCACAUGUAACAGCUUUAAAGCUUCUUAGGGCAUGGUGAUGGCCUCCAAGUAGAGCUAGCAUUUCUAUGACGAGGACAGACUACUUCAACCAGGGGAUGAGCCACAUCCGCUGCUUUCCUCUCACUGUUAAGUUAACCUUGUCCCUUCUGCUCCUGCUAGUGUAAAAUCCCCAAAGUAUCCUCUAGUACCCAGAUCCUUGUCAAGUAAAUAUAUUACUGCUAGUUCCUUCCAGUACAGCAUUUAGAUUAAAUAAAACUAAUUUCCACAUCGUGA